GCUGAGGAGUCCCACAACAGAACGAAACGGCCGUCC
rnacentral:hammerhead_ribozyme from 1 species